AAAAGUGAAAGACGGUCUUGCUGUCACUUAUAGAUGGAUCCGCGCUGCAUUAGCUAGUUGGUAAGGUAACGGCUUACCAAGGCAACGAUGCAUAGCCGACCUGAGAGGGUGAUCGGCCACACUGGAACUGAGACACGGUCCAGACUCCUACGGGAGGCAGCAGUAGGGAAUCUUCCGCAAUGGGCGAAAGCCUGACGGAGCAACGCCGCGUGAGUGAUGAAGGUCUUCGGAUCGUAAAACUCUGUUAUUAGGGAAGAACAUAUGUGUAAGUAACUGUGCACAUCUUGACGGUACCUAAUCAGAAAGCCACGGCUAACUACGUGCCAGCAGCCGCGGUAAUACGUAGGUGGCAAGCGUUAUCCGGAAUUAUUGGGCGUAAAGCGCGCGUAGGCGGUUUUUUAAGUCUGAUGUGAAAGCCCACGGCUCAACCGUGGAGGGUCAUUGGAAACUGGAAAACUUGAGUGCAGAAGAGGAAAGUGGAAUUCCAUGUGUAGCGGUGAAAUGCGCAGAGAUAUGGAGGAACACCAGUGGCGAAGGCGACUUUCUGGUCUGUAACUGACGCUGAUGUGCGAAAGCGUGGGGAUCAAACAGGAUUAGAUACCCUGGUAGUCCACGCCGUAAACGAU
rnacentral:rRNA from 1 species